UACGUAGGGGGCAAGCGUUGUCCGGAUUUAUUGGGCGUAAAGAGCGUGUAGGCGGUUUGGUAGGUCCGUUGUGAAAACUCGAGGCUCAACCUCGAGACGCCGAUGGAAACCAUCAGACUAGAGUCCGGAAGAGGAGAGUGGAAUUCCUGGUGUAGCGGUGAAAUGCGCAGAUAUCAGGAGGAACACCGGUGGCGAAGGCGUGUCUCUGGGCCGAAACUGACGCUGAGGAGCGAAAGCGUGGGGAGCAAACAGG
rnacentral:rRNA from 1 species